rnacentral:rRNA from 1 species
CCUACGGGAGGCAGCAGUGGGGAAUAUUGCGCAAUGGGCGAAAGCCUGACGCAGCGACGCCGCGUGAGGGAUGAAGGUCUUCGGAUCGUUAACCUCCGUCAGCAGGGAAGUACGGUCACUGUGCUAAUCAGCAGUGAAUUGACGGUACCUGCAAAGGAAGCACCGGCUAACUCCGUGCCAGCAGCCGCGGUAAUACGGCGGGUGCGAGCGUUAAUCGGAAUUACUGGGCGUAAAGCGCUCGUAGGCGGGAUGUCAAGUCAAGGGUGAAAUCCCCGGGCUCAACGGGGGAACUGCCUUUGAGACUGGCAGACUGGAGUGUGUGAGAGGAUAGUGGAAUUCGAGGUGUAGGAGUGAAAUCCGUAGAUAUCUGGAAGAACAUCGGUGGCGAAGGCGACUAUCUGACACAUAACUGACGCUGAGGAGCGAAAGCGUGGGUAGCAAACAGGAUUAGAUACCCGAGUAGUC